ACCCUCUCUCUUACACACACACUCACACAAUAAAAUUAGCAAGUGUGAGUCAUUGAUUGUGUGCGAGUCUGUAGAUGCUUAAAGAAAGUUAAAUAAACCUCCAUAUACAAUCAGCUUUCUAUCAUGAAUCUAUUGUAAGGUAGUUUUCUGUUGUAAGUGCAAGUUAGGAAGGGGAGUGCCAGUUAGGAAGGGAGGUGCUUCACCACGUCUGCCAGGUUAUAUAAACCGACGCGUGGCUGUGAAAAUCUCAGUGUGAAGCCGCUGUAGUGCCAUGGGACGGGACUUCGCAAUCUUCUUUGCCUCUCUGGCACUGUUCUCCUGCAUUAAUCUGCUGCCAGCUGUGGCCACCACGGAUCCUCCGUUUACAGGGACCCUCCAAGCAGAUGGUUCGCUGAAGUUUACCCUGCCGCCCUCUUUCUUCAUGGAGGUUCGCCACCACUCCUGUGACGCACAGUGGUUUGUAGACAGUGAGACGGUGGCUAUCAUAGACAAAGACGAAAUCAAAAGAAAGCCUUUUGUGAAACAGUUGACCAAUACUUCAAUCACCGUUGACACCUGCUCCCACACCGCCAGAUACUUCAUUGAAUGUCUUGACACGGGGGUAAAAAUCUCUAUUUGGUUAUGUUUAUCUUAACAUGUACUUUUUGCUGACCUGCAAUCUGAUGAAUCUGAUAUUUAAAAAGAGCCAAUUCUGACUAAUUUUCAGAUAUGCUCUCUUCACCCUUAUGUCAGAGAUUAUCAAAUUAACCUGCUAGAAAUAUGUGUUCAGUAUUAUGGUUAAAUCUGGCACAGGCGUGCUACCACAGUGACUACAUCACUGAAUAUGUGACAUUUUCAGUUAAGGGAAUGACUUUGGUCACUUUGUGGUGGUCUGUAGUUAUUUUUUUAUUUAGUAAAGGCAGAUACCAUCAUGUAUGGAGCCACAACCUUGAAACCCUCUGUUUCUGCCUCCUGAGUCACAACUAAAGUAAAGUAUUCAUAGCACCAUAGAAUGCUUCAGCCUUUGAUUUGGUUUGAGAUGUUUCAGUUGGUUCAUUUAGUUGUAGGAUUCUAUAGAUGCUUAUUUAUUAAGUGCACUUAUUUGAAUUUUUCUUUUUGACUUACAGUUCAGGAAGGACAUAGUCUACAUGUGUAAGUGUACUCCCUAUUGUUUUUAAUGUACUUUGAUAAUCUCACAUGAAAACAAUAUCUGAUUCUGUCAGCUAUAGCUGACGCUAGCUAGCAAACAAUUCUGUUGGUGCUCAACAUU
rnacentral:lncRNA from 1 species